rnacentral:rRNA from 1 species
GACGAACGCUGGCGGCGUGCUUAACACAUGCAAGUCGAACGGUAAGGCCCUUCGGGGUACACGAGUGGCGAACGGGUGAGUAACACGUGGGUGAUCUGCCCUGCACUUCGGGAUAAGCCUGGGAAAAUGGGUCUAAUACCGGAUAGGACCCUGGGAUGCAUGUCCUGGGGGGGAAAGCUUUUGCGGUGUGGGAUGGGCCCGCGGCCUAGCGGCUUGUUGGUGGGGUGAUGGCCUACCAAGGCGACGACGGGUAGCCGGCCUGAGAGGGUGACCGGCCACACUGGGACUGAGAUACGGCCCAGACUCCUACGGGAGGCAGCAGUGGGGAAUAUUGCACAAUGGGCGCAAGCCUGAUGCAGCGACGCCGCGUGAGGGAUGACGGCCUUCGGGUUGUAAACCUCUUUCAGCACCGACGAAGCGCAAGUGACGGUAGGUGCAGAAGGAGGACCGGCCAACUACGUGCCAGCAGCCGCCGUAACAC